rnacentral:rRNA from 1 species
AUACGAAGGGGGCUAGCGUUGUUCGGAAUAACUGGGCGUAAAGCGCACGUAGGCGGAAUGUUAAGUUAGAGGUGAAAUCCCAGGGCUCAACCCUGGAACUGCCUUUAAUACUGGCAAUCUAGAGAUCGAGAGAGGUGAGUGGAAUUCCGAGUGUAGAGGUGAAAUUCGUAGAUAUUCGGAGGAACACCAGUGGCGAAGGCGGCUCACUGGCUCGAUACUGACGCUGAGGUGCGAAAGCGUGGGGAGCAAACAGGAUUAGAAACCCGAGUAGUCC